GACGAAGGGGGCUAGCGUUGUUCGGAAUUACUGGGCGUAAAGCGCGUGUAGGCGGUUGCCCAAGUCGGGUGUGAAAUCCCCAGGCUUAACCUGGGAACUGCAUUCGAGACUGCAUUGCUAGAGUAUGGGAGAGGGAAGUGGAAUUUCCGGUGUAGCGGUGAAAUGCGUAGAUAUCGGAAGGAACAUCAGUGGCGAAAGCGGCUCACUGGCCCGGUACUGACGCUGAGGUGCGAAAGCGUGGGGAGCAAACAGG
rnacentral:rRNA from 1 species